GGAUGGGUACAGCUCAAGUGGUAGAGCGCAUGCUUAGCAUGCAUGAGGUCCUGGGUUCAAUCCCCAGUACCUCCU
rnacentral:tRNA from 1 species